GGAGUAAGGGUGGAUGGCCUGGUAGGACAGACAAUACAAGUGGGGCCUGACCGAGCCCAGUGGCCACUCUCUGUGUGAGCAAGGAGGUGAGGAGGGCCCCCAUCAGCUGAGGGAGCAGGACCGCAGGGUUGUAGCCUCCCAGCUGCCACCUGCUCUCUCCAGGACACACCCUCCACUGAGGAAAGCCCCUCCUCUAUCAUUCCGGUGGGUGCACAUGUCCAGCCCUGGCUGUCCUAGAUGCAAAGACUGACAGACCUAUCAGCCAGCAUGAACAGGAAGGCAACCCUCUCCCAGCCUCUCAGGCUCUCAGGCUGUCCCAGAGCCUCAGAACCUUCUGGAAACAUGGCACUCAAUCUACCUCACACCAACCUUCCAGGGCUGUUUGCCGACAUCCCUCAGCUCACCAGGCUCACCUCAUGUUCCUCCAGCAGGGUCAGAGGCCCACAGUGGGAGGAGCCUCAGAAGUCACCAAGAAUGCAUGAGGAAUGGGGAAGCUGAGGCUGACCAAGGGAAGGGUGUGUGGCUGCUGUGAGAUCAGCAUCUGCGGGCCAGGGCUGGGCUGCUAGAACAGCCAGGCCACCACAGGCUUCCUGGCCAACAUCCUCCUUCAGCUUGGGUGUACCCCACCUCCUCCUCUUCCAAGACGACAAGCUGGGAACCAGCCAGGGAAGACUGAGGCUGUAUGUGUGUCU
rnacentral:lncRNA from 1 species